GCCGGGAGACAGGGGUGCCCGCCCCGGCGGGCUGAGAUCACACCCUUUGAACCUGACCCGGUUAAGACCGGCGUAGGGAGUCACCCACAGGCUCAA
rnacentral:ncRNA from 2 species